rnacentral:rRNA from 1 species
AGUGAACGCUGGCGGUAGGCCUAACAUAUGCAAGUCGAACGGCAGCACAGUAAGAGCUUGCUCUUACGGGUGGCGAGUGGCGGACGGGUGAGGAAUACAUCGGAAUCUACUUUUUCGUGGGGGAUAACGUAGGGAAACUUACGCUAAUACCGCAUACGACCUACGGGUGAAGGCAGGGGAUCUUCGGACCUUGCGCGAUUGAAUGAGCCGAUGUCGGAUUAGCUAGUUGGCGGGGUAAAGGCCCACCAAGGCGACGAUCCGUAGCUGGUCUGAGAGGAUGAUCAGCCACACUGGAACUGAGACACGGUCCAGACUCCUACGGGAGGCAGCAGUGGGGAAUAUUGGACAAUGGGCGCAAGCCUGAUCCAGCCAUACCGCGUGGGUGAAGAAGGCCUUCGGGUUGUAAAGCCCUUUUGUUGGGAAAGAAAAGCAGCAGGUUAAUACCCCGCUGUUCUGACGGUACCCAAAGAAUAAGCACCGGCUAACUUCGUG